GACAGGGGAUGCAAGCGUUAUCCGGAAUUAUUGGGCGUAAAGCGACUGCAGGUGGAGUAGGAAGUCUUUUGUGAAACCUCUGGGCUUAACCCAGAACCUGCAAAAGAAACUCCUGCUCUUGAGGAUGGUAGAGGUAAAGGGAACUUCCAGUGGAGCGGUGAAAUGUGUAGAGAUUGGAAAGAACACCGAAGGCGAAGGCAGUUUACUGGGCCAUACCUGACACUGAGGGACGAAAGCGAGGGGAGCAAACGGG
rnacentral:rRNA from 1 species